rnacentral:lncRNA from 1 species
AAAGAUGUCGGGUCGGAUUUCGCGGGUAAUGUCAACUUUACGUCAUUCGUCUUUGCGUGGCUAUGUCACGUCCGUAAACAAAGAGAAGAAGGUCCGACUGCUACAGCGCGUGUUCAGUGAGGUGGGAGGUGUGUUUGUUCUGACAGGUUUUCUUUUCUCCAUAACCAACGAGCAGAGUUGUUAUCAGUGAAUUGUUUAAAAGUUUACAAGCAAAGGGGAAGGUGACAGAGCCAAACCGACCCAGAGAUGGACUCUUUCUUGCUCGACAGGACAUCCCACUGCAGCAGGUUCAAGAGACUGAGGCCAUAUGGACGGACAGAUGAACUCUUCAGAGACUGCAGUUACUCCAAAAAAAGUAAAAGAACAAAUACGAUUAACCACAGAGUGACAGAUUUAGAUAUGAAUGGAUUAUACGGCACUAUUUCUAUUAGACAGGAG